AACGGUCGAUUGAUGGGUUCGAUUUCCGGCCCCCUUGCACCGGGGCGUUGAUAGGUUGAUUUCCGGCCCCUUGCACUGGGGCGAGCCAAACAAGGGUGGCCGUUCGUCCGACGUACGUACGCUACGUCCGACGUCCGACUCCCUUUCCUCCCUCUUUCCCUCUGGAUUCUUGGUCCCUCUUUGUUUCUUUUGUUAGCCUCCCUCUCUGUGCCGGCGUCGUGGUCAAAGAAAAGGAGUUGAAACUACUCUGAUUUGAUCGUUUCCUCUUUCUUUGCGUCUCUUUCCUCAACGUCUUCUUCCAUCCUAUGAUCAUUCCCUCACCAGCUCUCCAUCAAGAAACCCUAGGAAGAAUCUUGAAUUUAGGCUUUUCUUAAUUUUACCCUUUUUUUGAUGUGAUAAUUUUACCGUUUUCUGAUCGUAGAUUCUCGAGUUUAGGGUUCUCGGAUCACCGCUAUCUUAUCGUAGCAAGAACUUAAGGAGUUUCGAAUCUCUCACCUUUGCCAACUUCUAGUUUGAUUUCUUGAAUUCGGUUUUCUAUUGUAUGCAUCUAAUUCUCUUUCGUUUCUUUUUCGUUCAUGAUCGAGCCCUGACAACCCAGCAAAGUUCUUCAUUCCUAGCACUCGAUCUUGUGGUGAAUUUCUUUUUUGUCUCCAUUUUUUUAACUUUCUUUUCCUUUUAUCAAGAUUAGGUUUUCUUCACAUUAUGAUCUCACGAUGAUCAAACCAACUUCGGGCUUAAGUUUCUUCUGGAGGUUGCGCAAUUCCUUUUGAGGCCUCAAUUAUCCUCCUAGGCUUCUUCUAUUAUCUGUUUUCUUCCCCAAGAAUAUGUGCCACCCUUUUUUCCCCCAAGAAUAUGUGCCAUUGCUGUUACUUUCUUGCCCGAGGUGCUGCUCCUGCAGAGAAAAGUCUAACUGGACUUAGCGAUUCAUGCCCGGCCUCGCUGUAUUCUGUGCCUAAACAAUCCGGCAGAAGCCUCAGCGAAACGGCUGCAUUGCUCCGGACACUGCCUACGCCGUCCAGCCAGGAGACACAUCGAAGCGCAUCCUCAGAGAAGUCUGGGUGGCUUGUGUUGGAAAAGCCAGAGAAACAUCUGCUUGCUACAAUGAAUAUACCAUUCAGCCUGGGGACGCAUUCUUCUCUCCUUUCAAGGCGGACAUUAGCGAGGCUAAGAAACUAAACAAGAUUCGGGACACUUCCUUCAUCCAUGCUGGAGGAGUUGUCCUCACAUCCAUAGCCGCAUCUCCUGUUUCAUGCACAGUAUUCUUUUGGAUUUGUUGCUGUAAAAGAAAAGACGUGCAUUGGGAAGCAUAUUUAAGAGGACAGAAAAUAUAUCAUUUCCCCCCAGCUUCUACUUCCUCUGCUGGACCAGAUAACAUGGUCUUCGUUGCUAGAAUCGGAUGCAUUUACAGGAGCGGGAGUGGGUGCAAUUGCAGGAAAGUGGAUACUUUAGAAUCACUUUUGGUAAGUUAGCACUUAGGAAGUUGGUGCGGGUCCUAGAUUCUCGGAAGAUUCUGAAGCAGUUGCAUUACCCUACGAAGAAGAUUGUAGCUGGCAAGAACUCGUCCUUCAACUUUUCUUGAAGAUAUCUCUUAACCAGCACGUUCUACAUGAAGCAAAUGAACAUUAAAUAGGGUAUGAAAAGUAAAGAACUGAAAUACUUAUCCCAGAAUUAUAUGAGAAAUCAUUCUCUGGAUUCUCUAAAUCAGGCAGUAAGCUUACCUUCUCGUUUGCUACGCAACUGUAUAAUUUUCUUUCUACCAUAAAAAGCUUGCCUCUCAUAUAGUUACAAGAAAAUAUUCAGGUUAAGUUUAUGGAAA